CUUGACAAAGAUCCUAGAGUAAUUUGCCUUUCUUUCUCUAGCUCAUUUAUAGAUGAGAAAAUGGAGGUCAACAGUGAUAAGUGACUUGCCCAGGGUUACACAGCCAGAUCUUGGUAUCUCUAAAAGAGCAGUGGAUUUGGAGUCAAAGUGUUUGAAUAUUAACUCUUCCAAUUUCUUGUGUGAUCUUGGACCACCUUUCCUGCUUCUAGUCCAGCCCAGACAUCCAUCAUCUGGGGAUACAACUCCUGUGGAUAAGAAGUCAGCCAUCCUCACCACCUAUCAACCAACUGCCACAAGCUGGCCUCACUAAAGCAACAAAUGACUCUGAGAGUGACAGGAGGCAGAAUGUGCCAGGUGGGUCAAAGAACCACUCUCCUAUAUUGACUACCACCUCCACUUAGAUCUU
rnacentral:lncRNA from 1 species